UACGUGAAACCGUUUAGGGGUAAACCUGAGAAACCCGAAAGUUCGAACGAGGAGAUUCAGUGUGUCUCGGCAAGUGCGAGUGCCGUUCGUAGACAAUUGUCGUUCGCGGCGAUUGCUUCGUACGUGCGCCGCCAUGUGUCGAACGCAUGCACUUCUCCUCCAGUAGGACGUCACGACCCGUUGGGUGUCGGUCUGAGGCUUGCAGUGGAGCCCGUGCGUCGGCGAAAGCCGUUCGUUCGGACCUGUGAUGUCCCGGCCGGCUGCUCGACGGUAUGACUUGAGGCGCAGAGCCGCGACUAGCUCGCGUUCGGCCCGAUGCAAGCGUGGACGGUUACCUGAUCAUCGGACUUGUGCCGAUCUCGGGGCCGCUCAGCUGCUGGUGUCGGUGUUCCCGGACAGACUCUGUACACGCUUGUCGGUGACGCUAUAGCUUUGGGUACUUUCAGGGCCCGUCUUGAAACACGGACCAAGGAGUCUAGCAUGUGCGCGAGUCAUUGGGACUAUCGAAUCCUAAAGGCGUAAUGAAAGUAAAGGCAGAGCCUAGCUCGGCCAAGGGAAGAUGGGUGACGCAAGUCGCCUCGCACUCCCGGGGCGUCUCAUUCUCAUUGCGAGAAGAGGCGCACCUAGAGCGUACACGCUGGGACCCGAAAGAUGGUGAACUAUGCCUGGUCAGGACGAAGUCAGGGGAAACCCUGAUGGAGGUCCGUAGCGAUUCUGACGUGCAAAUCGAUCGUAGGAACUGGGUAUAGCGGCGAUAGACUAAUCGAACCAUC
rnacentral:rRNA from 1 species